AUGAAGGUGGUGUGGUGCGGGAUACUAAAAGGGUUUGUUUCGCACAGCAGCGACAAAGUGGAUGAAAACGCUAAUGCUGCUAAUGACUCACAUCUUGCCCGACACCACCUUCUCAUCCUCCUCCUCUGCAUCCCCCGCUCCAUGCAGCUGGUAGGCACAGCAACCGAGACAAAGGGUUUCCGGGGUAAUGGACGCAUUUGUGCUGUUCAGCGCCAUCUGCUGUCAGAGAGUGAAAGUGAACUUUCAUCCAGAACGUCUUUCAUGCAUUCCGCCUUGCGCUUCUCAUCCAUGCUUGUUUACAUCAGAUUCGUAGGUCAGGUGACGGCUCCUCCGGAUUCAGGCAGCCGGCAGGAGUCCCCCGUUCCCUGCUCCUCCCCAUCAUGGUGGAUGGCAGCAGGCUCCGGCCUCAGGCGAAUGGCGGAGACUCCUCUGUUCCCUCACGGAUGGCAGCCGUCCCUACACAUCCCAUGCUCGAUGGCACCGCAGAUUCACUACUGCGUGAGGGAUUUCUGACAGCUGGUGUCCCUCCUUCCUCCGGGGUUUCGGCACCAAUGUAACGCAGUUCAUAGGUAAAGAAGAAGGAGGCGGGAACUGGCAAACAUUCAAAUGAAACAUUAAUAAUAAAAUAAACACAAAAGAGCGCA
ensembl:lncRNA